UACGUAGGGCGCAAGCGUUGUCCGGAAUUAUUGGGCGUAAAGAGCUCGUAGGCGGUUUGUCGCGUCUGCUGUGAAAACUGGAGGCUCAACCUCCAGCCUGCAGUGGGUACGGGCAGACUAGAGUGCGGUAGGGGAGAUUUGGAAUUCCUGGUGUAGCGGUGGAAUGCGCAGAUAUCAGGAGGAACACCGAUGGCGAAGGCAGAUCUCUGGGCCGUAACUGACGCUGAGGAGCGAAAGCAUGGGGAGCGAACAGG
rnacentral:rRNA from 1 species